CGAGCAGCGUCGUGUCGCGGUCCGGGACUGUCCUCAGUCCCGGGUCGUCUCGGCGCGGUUCCGAGCGGUCGCUCCCUCGCGAGGUGCCGCGGGUCAGCGGCUGACGCCAGCCACCUUCCCGACCCGUCUUGAAACACGGACCAAGGAGUCUAACAUGUGCGCGAGCCGCGGGGCAGUACGAAACCCGUAAGGCGAAAUGAAGGUGAACGCCGGCGCGGUCCGGCGGAGGUUGGAUCCCGUCCCGUCGGGGCGGGCGCACUACCGGCCGAUCUUCUCCGCCCUGUCGGCGAGGUCGAGCGAGAGCGUGCAAGUCGGGACCCGAAAGAUGGUGAACUAUGCCUGAGGAGGUUGAAGCCAGAGGAAACUCUGGUGGAGGACCGUAGCGAUUCUGACGUGCAAAUCGAUCGUCAAAUUUGGGUAUAGGGGCGAAAGACUAAUCGAACCGUCUAGUAGCUGGUUCCCUUCGAAGUUUCCCUCAGGAUAGCUGGCGCUCUGUCGCAGUUUUAUCUGGUAAAGCGAAUGAUUAGAGGUCUUGGGGGCGAAACGCCCUCAACCUAUUCUCAAACUUUAAAUUGGUAAGAAGCCCGACUCGCUCGUUUGGAGCCGGGCAUGGAAUGCGAGUGCCAAGUGGGCCACUCUUGGUAAGCAGGACUGGCGAUGCGGGAUGAACCGAACGCCGGGUUAAGGCGCCCGACGCGACGCUCAUCCCACCAA
rnacentral:ncRNA from 1 species